rnacentral:rRNA from 1 species
UACAGAGGGUGCAAGCGUUGUCCGGAAUCAUUGGGCGUAAAGGGCGCGUAGGUGGCCCGGUCAGUCUUUGGUGAAAGCGCGGGGCUCAACCCUGCGUCGGCCAGGGAUACUGCCGCGGCUCGAGCACUGUAGAGGCAGGCGGAAUUCCGGGUGUAGCGGUGGAAUGCGUAGAGAUCCGGAAGAACACCGGUGGCGAAGGCGGCCUGCUGGGCAGUUUAGCUGACACUGAGGCGCGACAGCGUGGGGAGCAAACAGG